GGCGUAGCCCUGUGUACAGUGUAUUUUGGCAUUUCUCUCCGAAAAAUGACUUGUUUAUUGGAAUAAAACGUCUCAUUUGUAAACUUUUUCUGUUUUUCUCUGCAAUUGACUAUUAAAAAAUAAUCUAUCUACUGUGUAUUUGGAAAAUUUUUUGAAAAUAGGAGAAUUGGCAAUUCUUACCUUUCAUACCUACACUUUCAUUGAUAAAACAUAACAUGGACUCAUCCAGUGUCCAGUUUGAAGGUCAUUUUAGUUACUGUCACAUUCAUGCACGUUCUGAUUUAAUAAAUAGUCAUGUAUGUAAAG
rnacentral:lncRNA from 1 species